AGCGUGUCUGUCAAUUUGGCCGACGAUCCCAACAAUUUUUUUUAAAAAAAGGCGUGAGACUUGGGUCCAUUUAAGCCUGGGAUUGGCAAAAUUUAUUACAUGUCUUAACCACAACCGUCAACAACCUUCUAAAGAGCAACUAAGGGCUUUUAUACCCUCCUGCUGCAGGAAAUUAGGCCUACUUCCCUCUUUUACCUCUCCUGCCCUGCAAUGAAGACAAGAGGCAGGAUGGCCAG